rnacentral:misc_RNA from 1 species
UAAUAAGUGUUUUAUGGCACUUUUUAAAUCCAUAUCCACCUUGUGUGCAAUGUCAGUCGAUCUUCUUCAUGGAGAUCGACCAAACAUCAACCUUUAUCUUUUAACCCUUUGUCUGAAAAAUAUUAUGAAUAAACAAUUCAAAAUA